rnacentral:miRNA from 1 species
GCCGUAUUGUCAGGUAGUGAUA